AGUUGGUUGUGGAGCACAUGAAAACUCCACAGUUAAGCGUGUUCACGUGGAUAUAGUGCUAGGAUGGGUGACCUCCCGGGAAGUCUCCACCCGGGCAACCA
rnacentral:rRNA from 2 species